CUUGGUCCACUUAGAGGAAGUAAAAGUCGUAACAAGGUCUCCGUUGGUGAACCAGCGGAGGGAUCAUUACCGAGUUUACAACUCCCAAACCCAAUGUGAACGUUACCAAACUGUUGCCUCGGCGGGAUCUCUGCCCCGGGUGCGUCGCAGCCCCGGACCAAGGCGCCCGCCGGAGGACCAACCAAAACUCUUAUUGUAUACCCCCUCGCGGGUUUUUUUAUAAUCUGAGCCUUCUCGGCGCCUCUCGUAGGCGUUUCGAAAAUGAAUCAAAACUUUCAACAACGGAUCUCUUGGUUCUGGCAUCGAUGAAGAACGCAGCGAAAUGCGAUAAGUAAUGUGAAUUGCAGAAUUCAGUGAAUCAUCGAAUCUUUGAACGCACAUUGCGCCCGCCAGUAUUCUGGCGGGCAUGCCUGUCCGAGCGUCAUUUCAACCCUCGAACCCCUCCGGGGGGUCGGCGUUGGGGAUCGGCCCUGCCUUGGCGGUGGCCGUCUCCGAAAUACAGUGGCGGUCUCGCCGCAGCCUCUCCUGCGCAGUAGUUUGCACACUCGCAUCGGGAGCGCGGCGCGUCCACAGCCGUUAAACACCCAACUUCUGAAAUGUUGACCUCGGAUCAGGUAGGAAUACCCGCUGAACUUAAGCAUAUCAAUAAGCGGAGGA
rnacentral:rRNA from 1 species